GAUGAACGCUGGCGGCGUGCCUAAUACAUGCAAGUCGAGCGAACCACUUCGGUGGUGAGCGGCGAACGGGUGAGUAACACGUAGGUGAUCUGCCCAUCAGACGGGGACAACGAGUGGAAACGAUCGCUAAUACCUGAUAGGACGAAAGUUUAAAGGUGCUUGUGGCACCGCUGAUGGAUGAGCCUGCGGCGCAUUAGCUAGUUGGUAGGGUAAAGGCAUAACAAGGCGACGAUGCGUAGCCGACCUGAGAGGGUGAACGGCCACACUGGGACUGAGACACGGCCCAGGCUCCUACGGGAGGCAGCAGUAGGGAAUCUUCGGCAAUGGGCGAAAGCCUGACCGAGCAACGCCGCGUGAAUGAUGAAGGCCUUCGGGUUGUAAAAUUCUGUUAUAAGGGAAGAACGACUUUAGUAGGAAAUGGCUAGAGUGUGACGGUACCUUAUGAGAAAGCCACGGCUAACUACGUGCCAGCAGCCGCAGUAA
rnacentral:rRNA from 1 species